AGUAACACGUGACUAAUCUACCCUCGAGUGGGGAAUAACUGAGAGAAAUCUUAGCUAAUACCGCAUAACACUUACGAGUCAAAGCAGCAAUGCGCUUGGAGAGGAGUUCGCGGCGAUUAGUUUAGUUGGCGGGGUUAAUGGCCCACCCAAGAACGAUGAUCGGUAUCCGGCCUGAGAGGGCGCACGGACACACUGGAACUGAAACACGGUCCAGACUCCUACGGGAGGCAGCAGUGGGGAAUUUUGCGCAAUGGGGGAAACCCUGACGCAGCAACGCCGCGUGGAGGAUGAAAUCCCUUGGGAUGUAAACUCCUUUCGAUAGGGAAGAUUAUGACGGUACCUAUAGAAGAAGCCCCGGCUAACUUCGUGCCAGCAGCCGCGGUAAUACGAGGGGGGCAAGCGUUGUUCGGAAUUAUUGGGCGUAAAGGGUGCGUAGGCGGUUUGGCAAGUCUUAUGUGAAAUCUAUGGGCUCAACUCAUAGUCUGCAUGAGAAACUGCCGGGCUUGAGUAUGGGAGAG
rnacentral:rRNA from 1 species